rnacentral:rRNA from 1 species
UAAUUUAUUGCCGUAGGAUGGGACUGCGGCCUAUCAGUUUGUUGGUGAGGUAAUGGCCCACCAAGACUAUUACAGGCACGGGCUCUGAGAGGAGUAGCCCGGAGAUGGGUACUGAGACACGGACCCAGGCCCUAUGGGGCGCAGCAGGCGAGAAAACUUUGCAAUGUGCGAAAGCACGACAAGGUUAAUCCGAGUGGUUUCUGCUAAAGGUACCUUUUGUCAGUCCUAGAAACACUGAUGAAUAAGGGGUGGGCAAGUUCUGGUGUCAGCCGCCGCGGUAAAACCAGCACCUCAAGUGGUCAGGAUGAUUAUUGGGCCUAAAGCAUCCGUAGCCUGCUUUGUAAGUUUUCGGUUAAAUCCAUACGCUCAACGUAUGGGCUGCCGGGAAUACUGCAAAGCUAGGGAGUGGGAGAGGUAGACGGUACUCGGUAGGAAGGGGUAAAAUCCUUUGAUCUAUUGAUGACCACCUGUGGCGAAGGCGGUCUACCAGAACACGUCCGACGGUGAGGGAUGAAAGCUGGGGGAGCAAACCGGAUUAGAUACCCGGGUAGUCCCAGCUGUAAACUAUGCAAACUCAGUGAUGCAUUGGCUUGAUGCCAAUGCAGUGCUGCAGGGAAGCCGUUAAGUUUGCCGCCU